UUCGGUGAGGAGUGGCGAACGGGUGAGUAACACGUAGGUAACGUACCCUUUGGCGGGGGAUAACUCGAGGAAACUCGAGCUAAUACCGCAUAUCGCCAACCAUCUAUAAGGAAGGUUGGUGAAAGUCUUCGGACACCAAAGGAGCGGCCUGCGGCCCAUUAUUUAGUCCUAGUUGGUAAGGUAACGGCUUACCAAGGGUACGAUGGGUAGCUGGUCUGAGAGGAUGAUCAGCCACACUGGGACUGAGACACGGCCCAGACUCCUACGGGAGGCAGCAGUGGGGAAUAUUGCGCAAUGGGGGAAACCCUGACGCAGCCACGCCGCGUGAGUGAUGAAGGCCUUCGGGUUGUAAAGCUCUGUCGGGAGGGACGAAGAUAGUUUACUAUUUGACGGUACCUCGCAAGAAAGCACCGGCUAACUCCGUGCCAGCAGCCGCGGUAAUACGGAGGGUGCAAGCGUUGCUCGGAAUCACUGGGCGUAAAGCGAGCGCAGGCGGUAUGAUAAGUUGGGUGUGAA
rnacentral:rRNA from 1 species